rnacentral:tRNA from 1 species
UCUCUAGUGGCUGAGUUGAUAAAGUAUCUGCCUGCAAUGCAGGAGACCACCUGCAAUACAGGAGACCCAGUUUUGAUCCCUGGGUGGAGAA